rnacentral:rRNA from 1 species
UACGUAGGGGGCUAGCGUUGUCCGGAAUCAUUGGGCGUAAAGCGCGUGUAGGCGGUCCGGUAAGUCCGCUGUGAAAGUCGGGGGCUCAACCCUCGGAUGCCGGUGGAUACUGUCGGGCUUGAGUACGGAAGAGGCGAGUGGAAUUCCCGGUGUAGCGGUGAAAUGCGCAGAGUAUCGGGAGGAACACCAAUGGCGAAGGCAGCUCGCUGGGACGUUACUGACGCUGAGACGCGAAAGC